rnacentral:rRNA from 1 species
CCUACGGGUGGCUGCAGUGGGGAAUAUUGGACAAUGGGGGGAACCCUGAUCCAGCCAUGCCGCGUGUGUGAAGAAGGCCCUCGGGUUGUAAAGCACUUUCAGUGAGGAAGAACGCCUGGUGGUUAAUACCCAUCAGGAAAGACAUCACUCACAGAAGAAGCACCGGCUAACUCCGUGCCAGCAGCCGCGGUAAUACGGAGGGUGCGAGCGUUAAUCGGAAUUACUGGGCGUAAAGCGCGCGUAGGUGGCUUGAUAAGCCGGUUGUGAAAGCCCCGGGCUCAACCUGGGAACGGCAUCCGGAACUGUCAAGCUAGAGUGCAGGAGAGGAAGGUAGAAUUCCCGGUGUAGCGGUGAAAUGCGUAGAGAUCUGGAGGAAUACCAGUGGCGAAGGCGGCCUUCUGGACUGACACUGACACUGAGGUGCGAAAGCGUGGGUAGCAAACAGGAUUAGAUACCCCAGUAGUC